GCGUCUCGGGCUUAGCCAGCGGGAGGAGCUCAGGUUCCACGGAGCGGUCCUUGCUUGUUAGGAUAUCCUCACGUGCGUCCAGCCCUGGUCCGGCCACUCCCCGCACCAAGGAUGCUCCAAGGGUUUCGCAGGGGCCGCAAGAGCCAGUUUAAACACAUCAUCCAUGGCUUUCUACCUGCAGCCAGCAUCGCACCAAAGCCAGCUGUGCCACGCACACCUCCUCCCCGCAGCCCCAACCCUUCUCCAGAGAGACCAAGAUCUGCUCUGGCUGCAGUCAUCCUAGCAACAACGCUGACCAGCCGGACUGUCGCCAUUCCUCAGCCUCGCCAGAGAUCCCUGUCUGAGAGUGACACGACCUGCGUCGAAAAGGACAGUUUCAUCGAGCCCUAUGCCACCACCUCUGAGCUGAGGCUUCGACCAAAUUGGCAGAAUGAGACAGGAAGAAGAUCUUUGCCAUCCUUUGAAACUCUGGGCUCCAGGGAGGAGGAGGAGGACACGGACGCACAGCUGUCGUCUGGCUGUGACGAAUCGGAGGAUGUCAGCGCUCCCAAAGCAGAGGGAAGUCUCAGUGCUGCCGUGUAUGCUGUGCCCCACAGAAACCAGUGCAGCGAAGCCCGCGGCUGGUCACGUAAGCAAGACUUCACUGAGGAGUCAGGAGGACAGAAGGGACAGCAGCGUAGAGCGUGCCAGUCAUGGCUUAUUGUACCGGGCCUGGUUCACUGGUCUUCCCCUCACCCAGCCUCUGUUGCCAGUAGACUGUCUCCAACUCCUCCCACGGAGGUUGCAUUGUCACGUGGGGUGGACAGUGAAGAUGAUGAAAAUAGUUCUAAGCAGGAUGGGUUUCCAGGCUUGCUUCUCACAACACAACAUACACAAGAAAAAGAUGAUAAAUAUUCUGUUCUGAACUUAAAGGAUGAAAAACCAUUAUGUGAGAAGCCUCCACCCUCCCCAGAUGUAACUGGUAGAACACGGCAAAGAUGUAUGGAAAUAACCAAAGAAAAGUUCAAGGAAUUGAAAGAAGAAAAUGUGCUUCUAAGUGGUGCAAACCAAACCCUUACUCUUGAACUUGACCUAAUAAAACAAGCGAUGAAAGAACUACAGUUAAAACUGAAAAGAACAGAAAAAGAAAACCGAAAGUUGAAAGAGGCUGAGAAAACAUCUCCUCAGGAAGUAGUUGCUGCCCCUGAACUACUUUAUCUAAGAAAACAAGCUCAAGAACUGGUGGAUGAAAAUGACGCGUUAAAAAUGACUGUCCAUCGUUUGAAUGUAGAAUUGAGUAGAUAUCAGACAAAAUUCAGGCAUUUGUCCAAGGAAGAGACUUUAAAUAUUGAUGGCCUCCCAUCCAAGGGCCCAGCACCACCCUGGUUGUUGGAUAUAAAGUACCUGUCACCCUUGUUACUGGCCUAUGAGGACCGAAUGAAAGAGAAGGAUGAGCUCAAUGCCACCCUUCAGGAGGAAAUGAGAAUGUUUCGGGUGCGAGUCCAGGAAGUGGUGAAAGAAAAUGAAGAAUUGCACCGAGAGUUAACCAAGAGUAGUCCCGUGACCAGUGAGGAAUGGCGUCAGCUCCAGACUCAGGCGGAACUGGUUUUAGAGGAGAACAAGUUGUUGAUAGAGCAGCUGGAGAUUCAGCAGAGAAAAGUCAAGGACACCCACCAGGAGCGUCUCCAGGAAGUUUCUAAACUGACUAAACAGCUAAUGCUUCUGGAGACUAAAACACAGAACCAAGAAAAAGAAUUAACCCAAAACAAGGAGGAGUUGGAAAUUUUAAGGACCGAAUGCCAGGACUUAAAAACACAGUUGGAUGGCAAAAUUGCUAUCAACGUUCAUGCUUCGAUUGUAAAUGAAUUAAAAAGCCAGUUGCAGAAGGAAGAGGAGAAAGAAGGUGCUGAGAUGGAAGAGUUGAUGGGAAAGUUGGCACUGCUGCAAGCACAGAAACAGAGCCUGGUCUUAGAGAAGAACAGUCUGGCUGCAAGAAACCAAGCGCUGGGAGAAGAACUCGACAGGGCACAGAAAAUAAAUAGGAGGUCUCAAAAGAAAAUUGAUGUCCUCAAAAAGCAGGUGGAAAAAGCCAUGCAGAACGAAAUGUCUGCUCACCAGUACCUGGCAAAUCUUGUCGGCCUGGCAGAGAACGUAACCCAGGAACGCGACUAUCUUAUGUAUUUGGCUAAAUGUUUACAAAGUGAGAAGCAUGGAGUUCUCAACAAAAUCAUAGAAGGCAAUAUUCGCUUGGGAAGGUUAGAAGAAAAAGUCAAGGGGUACAAGAAGCAGGCGGCACUGAAAGUGGAUGACAUCAGUCACCGCCUGACAGAGCAGCAGGAAGACUUCGCCAGCAGGACAGCUCAGUACCAGCAAGAGAUGAGGCACCUGCAUCAGAUGCUGCAGGAUAAGCAGGAUAUCCUGGACCAGGCUCUGCAGCAGAAACGAGAAAUGGAAGGCGAGCUUGAGGUUGUUUGGCAGUCUACCUCCAAGGAAAACCAAAGAAUCCGAGAGCUGCUGCAGGCCGUGCUGGAGAGGCAGGGUGUGUGGGACGGCACGAAGGAGGCGCACUGGGAAACCGUGGCUCCAGCUACAGUGACAUGAAGCCACCACGUGCCACAGCCCACGCCGUGCCUGGGGCCUCGGCCCAGAGCUCUGCCUUACCCAGCACUGGGAGACACAGGGGAAGGGCCACAGCAUUUCUCCUCGCCAGGGCAAGGAAAGCUCCCCUGGUGAUUCGCUAUGUGCUCUGCUGGUUCCUUUGUGUCCGAAUUCCCAAGUGAAGGUCUGUGCUGGGCUGUGCAAUCCGAAGCUGCUUCACAGGGAAGUUGUGCCCAGACUCUGUGAAGGGCGGAUCUUUGCUCACAGGAAGGCGAGCCAGGGACUCGGAGCCACGUAAAAGAUGUCAUUUCUCUGGGGAACAUGAAAGGGAGUUGGGGGAGGGGAGUUCAUGGAAGGCUGUGGGUAGGAGGUAGCAUUUUAGCCGGUGUUAAAUGUGGAGUUGGAUUUCCCCAGAAGAUUCUGAAAAGAAAGACGAGGACUCAGUAGGCGAAGAUGACUGGUGCCCUGGAAGGAAGACAGCCAUGUGAGGACCGAGACGCCCAGGGAGGACGCUAUGCGACAACAGUCAGGGUUGGAGAGACAUAGCUGCAGGCCAAGGAUGACACCCAGGAGUUCUGGCUACCCCAGAAGCUAGGAAGAGGCCGUGAAGGACCCCCUCCCGGGUUUCAGAGGGAGCACGGCCCAGGCCCACUCCUGGAGUUCGGACUUCUAGCCUCCAGAACUAAGGCGAUGGUUUUAGAGCCAGAAGAGGAGCUAAACAGGCCAGGCCCCCAGAGCCGGGGAUUCCCAGAGCAAGCAGGGUGUCCUUGCAGUGACAGGGCAACUUUGUGUGUGCAGGGGCACAAGGGGGUGAGAACGCACCUUUUCAACUGAGUACAUUUUUAAAAGGUCAUCGAACUACAGAUCGUGGACUUCUGAUGAAAAUCUUGCGCUAUAUUGCAAUGUGCUGGAAACCUAAAACGUACCCCAGAUUCUGAAGACUUAGAAGAGUGUGAACUAUCUCACCAAUAAUUUUUAUACUAGUUAUGUGUUGAGAUAACAUUUUGGAUGUACUGGGUGAAAUAAAACCUGUUGUGAAAAUCGAUGAUUUCACCUGUUUUUGCU